rnacentral:rRNA from 1 species
UACAGAGGGGGCAAGCGUUGUUCGGAAUUACUGGGCGUAAAGGGCGCGUAGGCGGCCUUCUAAGUCGAACGUGAAAUCCCCGGGUUCAACCUGGGAAUUGCAUUUGAGACUGAAUAGCUAGGGUGCGGAAGAGGGAAGCGGAAUUUCCGGUGUAGCGGUGAAAUGCGUAGAUAUCGGAAGGAACAUCAGUGGCGAAAGCGACUUCCUGGACCAGUACCGACGUUCAGGCACGAAAGCGUGGGGAGCAAACAGG